ensembl:lncRNA
AUGCCGCGGCCCGCGUGCGCCCGCUCCGGGGACUGCGCCUGCGCGGCCGGCCCUCACGGAGCCCGGGGAAGGUUGCGCCUGCGCAGUCGGCCCACUCCGGCCCGGGGGCGGGACUGCGCCUGCGCAGUCGGCCCAACCCAGCCCUGGGGGCGGGGCGACGCCUGUGGAAUCGCCCCUUCAGCGGCGCCUCGGCACCUAGAGCCGCCCGUCCGGCCGGGCCCCGGGGAGAGGCGGGCGUGCGGGCAUUGCGCCUGCGCGCGCCGGCCCCGCCCCCGGCCCCGCCCCGGCCGCGCGGGGCCCUGGGAGGGGUGCAGCGUCCGGCGGCUGCGGCGGCGGCGCGGGAGGGGCCGGGGGCGGACAAAGCCGAGGCCGAUGAAUGGGGCGCGUCCGCCUGCGCGGCCGUGGGGUCCCCGCGGAAGGGGCAACCGGGGCCUCGUUCACACGGCUCAGCACACGAGACGCUCCUCAUGUCUGCACGCUUCUGAUGCUUCUUGGUUGCUGAGCGUGUUUCUGGGUAUGACAUUCAAGUCGCCCAGGCCUCCCGUCUCGCCUGAGGAACGCGCUUGGUCGUCUGCUGACUCACACGGGACUCAAGCGGUUCGUUAG